AUACCAUUGGAUUCCCUGGAUCAAGACGAAUUCAACACACCCUAUGGCGUCAAUUUCCGGUUAUAUAGAUUUUCCGCAAUUUCCGGUUUUAUCAAAAACCUUUGAAAGGCAUCAACUCCUACAAUUUUUGUCAAAUCUUCUUCAAAAUCACCAGAGAUGAUCUUCAGACCAAGCCUCACAAAAGUUCUUCAACAGAAUUUUGAUCCUCACAACUGUUUGUCCGGUACAGCCACUGAAAUUCAGCAGAAAAGAUGCCAAACAGGAAGUAAAGUCAUAUCUCAGCAAAUCUUUCAGAUAUCAACACCAAACUUGGUAUGCACGUGGAAGACUCUACAACAUGUUCCCAUGUGCAAAUGCAACUUCAUAUCUUCAAAAAUGAUUGAUAUAAAGCAUUUAUAUUGCAGUGUAAAAAUGUGGCACUAUUUGCCCUAAACGGGCGCCAUCUUGGCUACGUCGCGAAAGAGGAGGAGCUCUCAUCAGCUUUUCAAUUCAUUUCUAAAACAAUGGCGGACGAGAUGGCUACGGUGGCUAGCAAUAGCUCACGAGGCUGCAGACCGUAAAUGUAAGUAUCAGCGGUAAUUAAACAAUUUACUGAUAUUAAAUGCACUACUAACAUGCCAUUCUCAGAUUAAAGCUAGCGACAUGAGUAUUUGGUGGAGUUAGCGAUGUAUACCGACAAUUAGCAUACCAGGCUAGGUAGCAUUAGAUGCCAUUGGAUCUGCAUGACAGUUAUGCUAAGCUAGCUGGCUAAUAUUUACGUGUAUGCUAACUGACGGUCCUUUUGCCAGUCCGAGAAGAUUCACUUUUAUCGGACACGUUUCGCUUGACGAGCGGGGGCAGGUGGCGGCAGAUAGCUAUGCCAAAGAAAAGGACUCACUCUGAAGACUUUUCCAAACAACACUUUGAACAGGUUUCCCCAUCUCCUCCCAUACCAUGGGCCAGAGGAGCACGACCACCUGGGUGAGGAGUUUCUAAAUUAUCAGACCAUGCCAACCACCUCCCUUCAGGACGAAACUGAGAUGGAAAGCUUCUGGGCUGGAAUGGCAACACGGAAACAUAAGGUGGCAGGAACCAAAGAAUUUGAGAGGCUUGUUGCCGUCGCCAAGCUGGUCCUGGUGUUGCCCCAUUCGAAUGCAGAUGCUGAGAGGGUGUUUUCAGUGUUCAGUGGGACUGAACAAAACUAAGACCAGAAAUAGCCUGCCAUUGGAUGGCACCCUGUCUUCAAUAAUGGCCAUAAAGAUGGCCGACCUGGAGCCCUGUUUCAGAUGGGAGCCCCCCUCAGAGGUCAUCAAGGCCUCCAAGAAGGCCACAGGCCAGUACAACCUUGCCCACAGAUCUUAGAAAAUGACUAACCAGGUUCUGAUCUGCACCUGAUACCUCAUUUUUAGUUAUUUUUGUCAUGUGUUGAUCUAUUUUAUUGCUUAAAAAGGCUACUGUUUAAGCACUUUAUUUGUUGCACUUUUUUGUUUGAUGGAACGUGUGGUGGGAGGCUUUGAAUAGUGAAAAAUAUUUCUCCCUAACUAAUCUUGUGUCAUUUUUUGCUGUUCAUAAAUCGUUAAGUGCUCAUAAAUCAUUAAAUACAAUUAUUAACAAUAUAGGUUAGGUUCCAGUUAAGAAUUAGUUGAAUACCAUUGUAAUCAAAAUGUCAAUCAACCUACCUUGGUAAAAUCUUAAACACAGGUCUAUUAAUUAGGCUAUAUUGUGGUACAUAGAC
ensembl:lncRNA